rnacentral:sRNA from 1 species
AGAGCGCCGCGCGGGGCGGGAGCUUGGUGGAGCAGGAGCGGCUGGGCAUCCUCCUGAGACUCCGGGGCCAGACGCCCACUCCAGAUUUCUUUAAAGCCUCAUGCAACACAUCAUUAUCGCUGGAUGCCCAGACAUUUAAUACACCUGACAGGUUGUGAAGUGCUCAGAAUGGGGCAGGAUGUCACCUGGAAUCAGCACUAAGUGAUUCAGACUUUCCUUACUUUUAAAUGUGCUGCUCUUCAAGAUGCCGUUGCAGCUCUGAUAAAUGCAAACUGACAACCUUCAAGGCCACAACGGAGGGAAAAUCAUUGGUGCUUGGAGCAUAGAAGACUGCCCUUCACAAAGGAAAUCCCUGAUUAUUGUUUGAAAUGCUGAGGACGUUGCUGCGAAGGAGACUUUUUUCUUAUCCCGCUAAAUACUACUUUGUGGUUCUUGUUUUAUCCCUAAUCACCUUCU